CUCCUCGUCACGAAGAAAAAGAAGACUUCCAUCUGCAGAGUAUAGAUACGAGUGAGGGUGAACGUUGUAAACUUUAUUUAUCAUAUAAAGUUAUACUUUCAGGGAUACUUGUAGUCGUUAUAUUUAAAUUAUUUCGUUAACAAGUAACAUUCAGAAAUAUGGACGACAAACUUCGGCAAAUGGAAGAUGAAAUGAACAGAUUCGAGGCUGAAAUUGGAGGGCAACUUGUAACACCAAUUGUACGACCGGUGAUAGGCGCAAAUACGUACAACCAAGUUGCUAGACAACUGGAGCAACACGAACUACCUACACCGGUAGUCGCGGCAGCUGCUGCUGCGACAUUAGCAUUCCCUCCAAUGAUUGGAUUUCCACCUCCACCACCGCCUCCGCCUCCUCCUCCUCCACCACCAAUGUUAAUUCCUCAACAAGUAGCAAGACAAAAUUCAGUUCCUAUUACGACAUAUUCCUCACCUGCGCAAAUAAGUAAUCCAUAUAUGUCAAAUAUGGUGGAUCCGUGUUUAAGUGCAACACCAAAAACCUACGAAUCUACGUCAACACCAAUGAUCCAUCCUGAGAUCAUUGAGCAGAUUAUCAAUACAAAGAUACCUGACGACGAGGGUAAGAAGAAACCAAAAGUUAAGGGUGUUAGCACAGCAGCGGAAUUAGCUAUUAGCCAAGGGAAAGCAAGUUCCAUUAUGGCUAAUGCUAGUGCCGAGGAGACUCAUCCUAAGGGCAGAGGAAAGAAAAAUAAGAAAAUUAUAAGAAUGGCUGGUGGUCAAACAUGGGAGGAUCCGUCUUUGUUAGAAUGGGACGAAGACGAUUUCAGGAUAUUCUGCGGGGAUCUGGGAAACGAUGUUACUGACGAGAUGUUGGUAAGAGUAUUCGGCAAAUAUCCCAGUUUCCAGAAAGCGAAAGUAGUCCGAGAUAAACGAACAAAUAAAACCAAGGGUUUCGGAUUCGUGUCUUUUAAGGAUCCACAAGAUUUUAUCAAAGCGAUGAAGGAAAUGAAUGGUGCGGAGACAUCUCGGGGAUCUUCCGCGUCUACUAGUAACGGCGCCGCAUAGCCGGCCGUAAUGCACAAUACGUUCAACAUCAGCACCGAGAGCAGGCCGGAGACCGUCUUCAUUCCCAUUUCGUAUUCGCGAUACUUGAGCGCGUCGUCCGUUUGCGUAAUUUCGUCUGUUUCUAGAAGAGAGAAGUACGAUAAAGAGGACGAUACGUAGGAUCGCGUCCGAUAAAACUGCGGAAGAGCUCCUGGAAGCAGAGAAAUUUGGAGACUGUGCGCAAAAAGGAGAAGGAGAAGCAGGCGUUGAUUGGAUUACUCACUGGCCGA